rnacentral:rRNA from 1 species
CCUACGGGGGGUAGCAGUGAGGAAUAUUGGUCAAUGGGCGAGAGCCUGAACCAGCCAAGUCGCGUGAAGGAUGACGGCCCUACGGGUUGUAAACUUCUUUUGUCAGGGAACAAUUGGGUCCACGCGUGGGCUUAGCGAUAGUACCUGAAGAAAAAGCAUCGUCUACCUCCGUGCCAGCAGCCGCGGUAAUACGGAGGAUGCGAGCGUUAUCGGUCUUUAUUGGGUUUAAAGGGUGCGUAGGCGGAAGAUCAAGUCAGCGGUAAAAAUUCGGGGCUAAACCCCGUCGUGCGGUUGAAACUGAUGUUCUUGAGUGGGCGAGAAGUAUGCGGAAUGCGUGGUGUAGCGGUGAAAUGCAUAGAUAUCACGAAGAACUCCGAUUGCGAAGGCAGCAUACCGGCGCCCAACUGACGCUGAAGCACGAAAGCGUGGGUAUCGAACAGGAUUAGAUACCCUGGUAGUC